rnacentral:sRNA from 1 species
GGUGCAUAUUAGCUUAAGAACUUUUAAACCUCUGCGGCAGUAAUGAGAAUCUGCAUGCCAGGGGCCCAGCAUUUCUCUACAAAGCAGCCCAUGAGUGCAUGUGUGUUUGCUGUAGUGAGGGGUCUAUGUUAGAAGCUGCGGGGUAUUGAAUUUGAGGCUGCUCUCAGCAUUACUGCUCAUCUCAAAGAGGAACAAAUGGUCCCCCAAAUGGUCCAGAUGCGACAGUAGGGAAAGGAGUACCACCAUUCAUUCUGAGGUGCCUGGGCCAUACUCUGGAUGAAGCUCACAGCUGUAACGUAAGGCGGUCUCUGUGUUCCAGAUUUUUUUUUGUAACUAUGAAAUCCUUGCCUUGUAGUCAACUUAAAAUGAAAUAAAUUUAUCAGUGC